rnacentral:rRNA from 1 species
UACGGGGGGAGCAAGCGUUGUUCGGAAUUACUGGGCGUAAAGGGCUCGUAGGCGGCCAACUAAGUCAGACGUGAAAUCCCUCGGCUUAACCGGGGAACUGCGUCUGAUACUGGAUGGCUAGAGUUUGGGAGAGGGAUGCGGAAUUCCAGGUGUAGCGGUGAAAUGCGUAGAUAUCGGAAGGAACAUCAGUGGCGAAAGCGACUUCCUGGACCAGUACCGACGUUCAGGCACGAAAGCGUGGGGAGCAAACAGG